GAGGGUACAGCUCAAGUGGUAGGGCGCAUGCUUAGCAUGCAUAAGGUCCUGGGUUCCAUUCCCAGUAUCGCCA
rnacentral:tRNA from 1 species